UGGGGAAUAUUGCACAAUGGGGGAAACCCUGAUGCAGCAACGCCGCGUGAGUGAUGACGGCCUUCGGGUUGUAAAGCUCUGUCUUCAGGGACGAUAAUGACGGUACCUGAGGAGGAAGCCACGGCUAACUACGUGCCAGCAGCCGCGGUAAUACGUAGGUGGCGAGCGUUGUCCGGAUUUACUGGGCGUAAAGGGAGCGUAGGCGGACUUUUAAGUGAGAUGUGAAAUACUCGGGCUCAACUUGAGUGCUGCAUUUCAAACUGGAAGUCUAGAGUGCAGGAGAGGAGAAUGGAAUUCCUAGUGUAGCGGUGAAAUGCGUAGAGAUUAGGAAGAAUACCAGUGGCGAAGGCGAUUCUCUGGACUGUAACUGACGCUGAGGCUCGAAAGCGUGGGGAGCAAACAGG
rnacentral:rRNA from 1 species